rnacentral:rRNA from 1 species
AGGGCACCACCAGGAGUGGUGCCUGCGGCUUAAUUUGACUCAACACGGGGAAACUUACCCGGCCUGGACACUGGAAGGAUUGACAGAUUGAGAGCUCUUUCUUGAUUCAGUGGGUGGUGGUGCAUGGCCGUUCUUAGUUGGUGGAGCGAUUUGUCUGGUUAAUUCCGAUAACGAACGAGACUCUAGCCUAUUAAAUAGGCUCUCGGCUUUUAAACGCCGGGAGGACUUCUUAGAGGGACAGGUGGCGGUUCAGCCGCACGAAAGAGAGCAAUAACAGGUCUGUGAUGCCCUUUGUUGUCCGGGGCCGCACGCGCGCUACACUGAAGAGAUCAGCGUGCUUUACGUUCCUGCUCCGACCGGAGUGGGAACCCAGUGAACCUUCUUCGUGAUUGGGAUAGAAGAUUGUAAUUAUUCUUCUUGAACGAGGAAUUCCCAGUAAAUGCGAGUCAUAAGCUCGCGUUGAUUACGUCCCUGCCCUUUGUACACACCGCCCGUCGCUACUACCGAUUGAACGAUUUA